CCUACGGGAGGCAGCAGUAAGGAAUAUUGGCCAAUGGACGAAAGUCUGAACCAGCCAUGCCGCGUGAAGGAUGAAGGCCCUCUGGGUUGUAAACUUCUUUUAUCUGGGACGAAAAAAGCUCAUUCUUGAGCACUUGACGGUACCAGAGGAAUAAGCACCGGCUAACUCCGUGCCAGCAGCCGCGGUAAUACGGAGGGUGCAAGCGUUAUCCGGAUUCACUGGGUUUAAAGGGUGCGUAGGUGGGUCUGUAAGUCAGUGGUGAAAUCUCCGAGCUUAACUCGGAAACUGCCAUUGAUACUAUAGGUCUUGAAUCAUCUGGAGGUAAGCGGAAUAUGUCAUGUAGCGGUGAAAUGCUUAGAUAUGACAUAGAACACCAAUUGCGAAGGCAGCUUACUACGGGUGCAUUGACACUGAGGCACGAAAGCGUGGGGAUCAAACAGGAUUAGAUACCCUGGUAGUCCACGCCCUAAACGAUGGAUACUCGACANCANGAUACACUAGUUGGUGUCGUGAGAGAAGAGAUAAGUAUACCUAACCUGGAGUUAGACGCGAGUUAGAAGACGAAGAAGUAGAGGNGNGAGAGNGCGAGACGACGACGAGGAGGAGG
rnacentral:rRNA from 1 species